rnacentral:rRNA from 1 species
ACCUGACUGCUAUCGGAUUGGUACUAAGCCAUGUGAGUCAUUGUAGCAAUACAAGGCAUACGGCUCAGUAACACGUAGUCAAUCUGCCCUAUGGACGUGGAUAACCUCGGGAAACUGAGAAUAAUCCGCGAUAGAUCAUAAUGCCUGGAACGGUUUAUGGUCCAAAUGAUUCGUCGCCAUAGGAUGGGACUGCGGCCUAUCAGCUUGUUGGUGAGGUAAUGGCCCACCAAGGCUAUUACAGGUACGGGCUCUGAGAGGAGAAGCCCGGAGAUGGGUACUGAGACACGGACCCAGGCCCUAUGGGGCGCAGCAGGCGAGAAACCUUUGCAAUGUGCGCAAGCACGACAAGGUUAAUCCGAGUGUUUCCUGCUAAAGGAAUCUUUUGUUAGUUCUAAAACCACUGAUGAAUAAGGGGUGGGCAAGUUCUGGUGUCAGCCGCCGCGGUAAAACCAGCACCUCAAGUGGUCAGGAGGAUUAUUGGGCCUAAAGCAUCCGUAGCCGGUUCUGUAAGUUUCCGGUUAAAUCCACUAGCUCAACUAAUGGGCUGCCGGAAAUACUGCAGAACUAGGGAGUGGGAGAGGUAGACGGUACUCGGGAGGAAGGGGUAAAAUCCUUUGAUCUCUUGAUGACCACCUGUGGCGAAGGCGGUCUACCAGAACACGUUCGACGGUGAGGGAUGAAAGCUGGGGGAGCAAACCGGAUUAGAUACCCGGGUAGUCCCAGCUGUAAACGAUGCAGACUCGGUGAUGCACUGGCUUUUGGCCAGUGCAGUGCCGCAGGGAAGCCGUUAAGUUUGCCGCCUGGGAAGUACGUACGCAAGUAUGAAACUUAAAGGAAUUGGCGGGGGAGCACCACAAGGGGUGAAGCCUGCGGUUCAAUUGGAGUCAACGCC